rnacentral:rRNA from 1 species
UAGGGAAUCUUCCGCAAUGGGCGAAAGCCUGACGGAGCAACGCCGCGUGAGUGAUGAAGGUCUUCGGAUCGUAAAACUCUGUUAUUAGGGAAGAACAAAUGUGUAAGUAACUAUGCACGUCUUAACGGUACCUAAUCAGAAAGCCACGGCUAACUACGUGCCAGCAGCCGCGGUAAUACGUAGGUGGCAAGCGUUAUCCGGAAUUAUUGGGCGUAAAGCGCGCGUAGGCGGUUUUUUAAGUCUGAUGUGAAAGCCCACGGCUCAACCGUGGAGGGUCAUUGGAAACUGGAAAACUUGAGUGCAGAAGAGGAAAGUGGAAUUCCAUGUGUAGCGGUGAAAUGCGCAGAGAUAUGGAGGAACACCAGUGGCGAAGGCGACUUUCUGGUCUGUAACUGACGCUGAUGUGCGAAAGCGUGGGGAUCAAACAGG